UUGAUGUUUUGGACAAAGAUAAGCGACCUCCAUUUAGAUGGCUCAUUAUUGGUCCCCAGAGGUCUGGUGCUUCUUGGCAUGUUGAUCCGGCUCUGACCAGUGCCUGGAAUACGCUUCUAUGUGGUCGUAAAAGGUGGGCCUUGUGUCCUCCAGGAAGAGUACCUAUAGGUGUCACAGUACAUGUAAAUGAAGAAGACGGUGAUGUCAAUAUUGAAAUGGGUGUGGUUUUGGUUGUGGUUUAGGUGAAAUAUGGUGUUGGUAAGAAAAAGUGGGAUGCCUCCUGGACCUCGUACUGGGUUUUCUAUAUAUGUGUGUUUAUAAGAAGCGAGCUUUGCUAUUUGGGGCUGUAGUGGACAUGGAAGUUCAAGGGAACAUUGGAUAUUGCCUAAACCAGUCCAUUACCAAUCAUGGGAGAACUUGGUGAUAAAUACGGUUAAAGCUUUCAAUGCUGAAACAUGUAGGGUUAACAGAGUGCCCAAAGUGAAAUUACUUCCGGGCGUACCUAAACAACCGGAUGGAGUUGAGUGUGGCUAUUAUGUGAUGCGAUAUAUGAAAUAUAUUAUAAAUGAUGAUACUCUUUCAUUUUCAACCAAGUGGGCGGCAAAGAGUCGGAACUCAUAUACCCAAGAGCAACUUGAUGAGGUGUGCAUUGAAGUGGCUGACUACUUGCAGAGUUUGCUAUAGCUAGAUCUUGACAAACAAUAUGAUUUUGAGUAAGGCUAGAUUUUGCUGACCAUUUUGUAGUAGAUAUAUGUAAUGAUAUCAGGAUGCAGUAGUGGUAUCUUCUACACUAGCCUUAAAGUAUGUUAGGGUUUAUUAUGUAAAACUUUUGAAACUACUAAUUUGUAUAGAAAUUAAUACAAUUCCCUAAUAUUUAAAGUACAUCUGAAUUUCAUGUUA